GAUGAACGCUGGCGGCGUGCCUAAUACAUGCAAGUCGAGCGAACGGACGAGAAGCUUGCUUCUCUGAUGUUAGCGGCGGACGGGUGAGUAACACGUGGAUAACCUACCUAUAAGACUGGGAUAACUUCGGGAAACCGGAGCUAAUACCGGAUAAUAUUUUGAACCGCAUGGUUCAAAAGUGAAAGACGGUCUUGCUGUCACUUAUAGAUGGAUCCGCGCUGCAUUAGCUAGUUGGUAAGGUAACGGCUUACCAAGGCAACGAUGCAUAGCCGACCUGAGAGGAUGAUCGGCCACACUGGAACUGAGACACGGUCCAGACUCCUACGGGAGGCAGCAGUAGGGAAUCUUCCACAAUGGGCGAAAGCCUGACGGAGCAACGCCGCGUGAGUGAUGAAGGUCUUCGGAUCGUAAAACUCUGUUAUUAGGGAAGAAGAUAUGUGUAAGUAACUGUGCACAUCUUGACGGUACCUAAACAGAAAGCCACGGCUAACUACGUG
rnacentral:rRNA from 1 species